rnacentral:rRNA from 1 species
GACGAACGCUGGCGGCGUGCUUAACACAUGCAAGUCGAACGAAGUGGCGAACGGGUGAGUAAUACGUGGUUAACCUGCCCUCCUUUUUGGGAUAAGCCAUGGAAACGGGGUCUAAUACCGAAUGAAGGGGGAUGGGCUCGGGGCUUGUCAGCUUGUUGGUGGGGUGAUGGCCUACCAAGGCGGUGACGGGUAGCCGGCCUGAGAGGGGGAACGGCCACAUAGGGACGGAGAUGAGGCCCAGACUACGAAGGGAGGGAGAAGUGGGGAAUAUUGGAGAAUGGGCGAAAGCCUGAUGCAGCGACGGUGCGUGGGGGAUGAAGGUUUUCGGGUUGUAAACCUCUUUAGCUAUGGAGCGGGUAGGUGGAGAAGAAGCGCCGGCUAACUACGUGCCAGCAGCCGCGGUAAUUC